rnacentral:misc_RNA from 1 species
AACGCAUAUUGCGCCCUCUGGUAUUCCGGGGGGCAUGCCUGUCCGAGCGUCAUUAUCCAUAACUCAAGCACGGCUUGUUUGUUGAGCAAAUUGCUUCUGUAACUGUGGGAGCAGGCUCGAAAUGCAGUGGUGAACGAUACUGAGUUCGAUUGCCCGAGUGUUAUGGGGCUUUGUCAUACACUCUUGUGGCUCAACCGGCGUUCUACCGUCUUAGCCUCUAAUUUAUUAACUAGGUUGACCUCGGAUCAGGUAAGAGUACCCGCUGAACUUAA